rnacentral:antisense_RNA from 1 species
AGCUUGCUCAUGGGUUUUGUGGAGGGCGUAGAUUGGAACCAAAAAGCACGCCUCGGCUUGGUGCUGCCUGUAGCCCUCUGUUGACAUGGGGAGAGAAGAGCGGGUCUGACUCGGAAAUGACGCCAUAAUGCUGAGGAACCACUCCUGGCGUUGCGGAAGGUGGGGUGUGGGGCCGGAAGACCCUCCCCCGGCGUCUUCAGAGGAGCGCUGUUUUUGGAGGAGUUAGGGGAAGGAGGCUGCCUGACUAUAUCAGCCACGGAUAGGAUAUGUGAGAAUACCAGCAUGUCAAGGCUGGGAAUCAUCCUUAGGCAUCACCUAGCCAGUCCUGCCUCUCAUUUUAAGAUGCAGAGUGUUCAUAUGAGGAGAGACUUUCCCUUGUCUCUGUCAUCUGUGAUUUCACUUCCCUGACAGAAGACGAAGCUUCCAUCUCAGAUGUUUUCUUAAAUGAUGAAACAGCAUACGCCUCUGUUCUUGUCAGCUCAGGGAAAACAGAUCUGGGGACCUCUUCAUCUCUGCGUUGGGAAGCAUAGGUGGUAUAAUCCCCUCCUGUCACGUCCAACGUUGCAUAGUCAGAAGCUUCGCCCUUGUAGUUGGUGCACACAGCACG